rnacentral:misc_RNA from 1 species
GCUGCGUCGAGUACGUUCAAUUGCCUACAAGGGGAUUGCGCGGGUCGAUAAUGCGUGACAACUGCGAGGGCGAAUCGAAGGUGCUCCGAGCUCUUGUUUCAGCAUCGUAUCAUCGCCAAGGCGGCCAGGCCGUUGUUGGCGCUCUCUCUAUGCGUGUCUGGCGGGGCAUGCCCGGGGGUGCAGAUUUUCGUUUUGCUGCCCGCGAUUUUUCGCGGAAUGCUGAGCGACGGCUUGUGCUCUCAGGCAUCGCGUACGUGAUGACGCGUGAGUGGUGAUUGGUGCGUGUCGGCAUGUCGGUUCCCUGCUCGGGCAGCGACGACAUCCCGGCCGCGCCUCUUCAGUCGUUGGCACAAGUGCGUCCGCCUUGUCCGACAUCGGCUUCCUGUGUUCAAUACCUGACGCAAAGGCAUUUCGUCGGCAAGAUUGUCCCCUUUCCGCCCUGCCCUGCUGCACCGUUCGGUGUCGCGGGACGGGGUGGAACCAAAAGCAAAUGCCGUUGUCCUCCCUCGUGUGUCGUUAUAACGGCCCUCGGGUUGCAGGCCCACGGCGUGAUGCUCGAUCUCUCGGAUGCGGAACAUCGGGUGGGCACGAGGCCACGACCUCUAUUUGCCCCACGAAGAUAAGCGUUCCGCGCUACGUGCGAACGACGGUCGUUUCGAUUGUGAUCGGGUCCUCAUGGAUCGGGUCACGUCGAGGCGACGUCGAUGAGGAA